GGAUGGUGUAGAGCAUUGUGUCUUGGAUACCUGGAAUGCAUUUAAUAGCCAGUAUUGAUUCUGCUGACAGGGCAGGUUGUGUGGGAAUCCCUUUCCUCCCUAAACAGUCCUUGUGCAUCCCUUUGCAAGUGUUAUUCUUGGUCAAAUAGGGCACCAUUCCCAGAACAGAGGAGGACUAGUCUUUGGUCAAAGGUGUAUAUGCAGCUGCACACUCCUGCUAGAACCUGCAAACAAGCUCUCAUGAGUACCUUUUAUUGUGUGUCCUUCAUGCAGCGCUCUCACCCUCAAGGUGCUCCUU
ensembl:misc_RNA 7SK 7SK RNA